rnacentral:rRNA from 1 species
CACGUAGGCACCAAGCGUUGUCCGGAUUUAUUGGGCGUAAAGAGCUCGUAGGCGGUUGAGUAAGUCGGGUGUGAAAACUCUGGGUUUAACCCAGAGCCGCCACCCGAUACUGCUCUGACUUGAGUUCGGUAGGGGAGCAGGGAAUUCCUAGUGUAGCGGUGAAAUGCGUAGAUAUCGGGAGGAACACCUGUGGCGAAAGCGGCUCACUGGACCACAACUGACGCUGAGGCGCGAAAGCUAGGGGAGCAAACAGG